GACGAACGCUGGCGGCGUGCCUAAUACAUGCCAGUUGAGCGCUGAAGGUUGGUACUUGUACCAACUGGAUGAGCAGCGAACGGGUGAGUAACGCGUGGGGAAUCUGCCUUUGAGCGGGGGACAACAUUUGGAAACGAAUGCUAAUACCGCAUAAAAACUUUAAACACAAGUUUUAAGUUUGAAAGAUGCAAUUGCAUCACUCAAAGAUGAUCCCGCGUUGUAUUAGCUAGUUGGUGAGGUAAAGGCUCACCAAGGCGAUGAUACAUAGCCGACCUGAGGGGGUGAUAGGCCACAUUGGGACUGAGACACGGCCCAAACUCCUACGGGAGGCAGCAGUAGGGAAUCUUCGGCAAUGGACGAAAGUCUGACCGAGCAACGCCGCGUGAGUGAAGAAGGUUUUCGGAUCGUAAAACUCUGUUGGUAGAGAAGAACGUUGGUGAGAGUGGAAAGCUCAUCAAGUGACGGUAACUACCCAGAAAGGGACGGCUAACUACGUG
rnacentral:rRNA from 1 species